UACGUAGGUGGCAAGCGUUGUCCGGAUUUAUUGGGUUUAAAGGGUGCGUAGGCGGCUUUGUAAGUCAGUGGUGAAAUACGGUAGCUUAACUAUCGAGGUGCCAUUGAUACUGCAGAGCUUGAGUACAGAUGAGGUAGGCGGAAUUGACGGCGUAGCGGUGAAAUGCUUAGAGAUGGGGGAGAACACUCGUGGCGAAGGCGGCCAGCUAGACCAGUUCUGACGCUGAGCCGCGAAAGCGUGGGGAGCGAUCCGG
rnacentral:rRNA from 1 species